UUCUCUCCGACCAGAACCACCACCGGAUCGCAUCAGUCGCUCUCGCUCGGCGAAUCCUAUAGCUCCGCACCCAGCGCCGGAUUCAGAUUUUCGAGAUCCCUAGACUAGGGAUACUCCGCGUACGUACAAGGGUUAGACGGGAUAAUGCGAACACCUUUCGAUUCGGACUGCCUCCUUCCAGCGGUUGAACAAGGCUUCUCGAUUCGGUUGGCAUCCCCUCGAGCUGGCCCGGAAAAGGGGCGCAAUCGAGCUCACGGGCGAGCGAUGCAGCCAGUGGCCAGCGUAGAACGUGUGCGGCCACGAAAUAGAAGAUUUUACGCGAGACGAUCGUCGAGGCGCGUGCGCCCGCCUCGGCCAAGACCGAGCGUCCGCGCCAUCGUUCCUGCACACAGAGAAAUCAUCCACACACCGCAUCCUCUCGUGCCAGUGCUUCCCAACCACCUCCACACCAGGACGCCCGUUUUGAAAAGCAAAGAUUACAGGAAAACUACAUGUGAAAAUUCCGUUGGAUGCGGAAAACCAUCGCAGUCGGUUCGCGUUGAUGAUUUCGACCCACCUUAGCGCGUGUCUGUGACCGACGUGCACACCCAGAACCGUGUACACGCAGCCUAAAAAACUCGGAACGGAGCCAACCAGCGCCGUCUGCUCAGAACGGCGUAUCUGGAACUGGGAAAUUCGACAAAUCGCGCUUACAUUCGCGCAAGGCCAAUACCGAGGGAUCUCGCAUAUUUUUUUUCUCCUUCCAUCCCAGGGAACAAAGGAACCGUUUGGGAUUCGGGGAACGACGGUAGACGCGGGUAGAGAGAAACAGAACGAGCGAAGAAUGGGGAGGAACUGGGAAUUUGUGAAAAAUGCUGAGGAGAAAGGAGGAUGGAUGGAACGGAGCUGGGAGGUACCUUAGAUCGCGGCUGCACGAUUUACGAUGGUUUGGCGGGAACAUAUUUGGGUCAGCGUUUGUUAUCGGUGGCCGCGAGAGGUUCCCAGCUCUUCUGGGAUGACUUUCGCGUUGCGUAAUCAAAGAUGACCGAUCCUCCUGCACAGGCCCUAUCGCAGGUCGAUCAAGGAGUCGGGCUCGCAGGUGUAAACGGGGUAUGAACGAGUGGGCUGCGGAUGUUGACGAGAAAUCAUAUUUCUACAGAUACAAAUGAAGAAUUGAGAUUUAAGUGAAAGCAUGCGUCUAUUUUACUGUUAAUGUUUUACAGAUUUUUUGCAUCUAUGACAUAAACAUCCGCAGUCUAUAAAUGAGAAACCAUCGAUCAACAGUGGUAUUCCAAGCACACAAAUUGCAUUCUAAGCUAGAAAUUUACUUACGUGGCUGUGAGAAAUGUCUAGAGACAAAUUUGUUUAACGUACUUUUUUUUUUUAAGGAACAUUUUUAAAGGAACAUAGGAUCGCGGGUUCUCGGUUCCUGGGAGAGCCUGGACAAGGACAAAGGACGUGGACGCCUGGGUCCGCAACGGUCGUCAGGAUUCGUCGCCUCGGGAGGUGUUUCGAAACUCCUUCGGACAGACGUCGCGGCGCUGCCGCCGAUAGCAGGACGUUCGAUAAUGGGGGGAGGUGGUUCCACCUUUCGACUAGUGGAGAGACGUCGAAACUUUCGAGGGUGGUGUAACUGGUAUAUAUCUAAUCUGUGGGUACCGGACCGACCCCUUGUACACGGUACGCGUACAAACCUGUACGCGAGCCCCGUCUACCGUCGAAUCCAACCCUUCGCUGCUCGCGAUGCGCCCGUUAAUUGGAUUAAUGGCACGGCUCUGCUUACCUUUCCGUUCCUAGCAUUCGAGUCGAUUGGUCUUCAAAUUGUAGAUAAAUUUAGCUUCGAAUCGCGGGGUCGGAUUGCUCCAACGGUACGCGCUGAGUUAUUACUGGAAGCAUCGAAUCAGAACCUAAGGCUAUAUACACACCGGGUGUAUUCUUGUAAACGGGUUCGCUCCAGGGACUCCGGAAACAAUACGAACGGCGAUGUUCGUUGUCAGUCGGGGACUAAGCGAAUUUAACCCCUGACUGAAUUUCCGUAAUCUAUUCAAUUUUGAAAAAUGUCCUUUUCAUUAGACAACCAAAUAACGAGGCCUGACACUAGUCCAUGCUCUCUGUUGAAUCAGGAACUAAUUAAAGUGACUCGGGUAAGGGAGAAUUGGGAAAAAUAAAUCGAUCGUUUGCAAAGAAACAGCAACUUAUACUUUGGUUCGUUUCUUCUUACUAACUAUGUACGUUCUUAA